rnacentral:rRNA from 1 species
GACGAACGCUGGCGGCGCGCUUAACACAUGCAAGUCGAACGGAAAGGCCUGCUUUCCCUUGUGGAUUGCGGGUACUCGAGUGGCGAACGGGUGAGUAACACGUGAGUGAUCUGCCCCCAACUUGGGUAUAAGCCUGGGAAACUGGGUCUAAUUCCCGAUAGGACUGCAGGGUGGUGCCUGUGGUGGAAAACGAUUUUCUAGUGGUUGGGGAUGAGCUCGCGGCCUAUCAGCUUGUUGGUGGGGUAAUGGCCUACCAAGGCGGCGACGGGUAGCCGGCCUGAGAGGGUGGACGGCCACAUUGGGACUGAGAUACGGCCCAGACUCCUACGGGAGGCAGCAGUGGGGAAUAUUGCACAAGGGGCGGAAGCCUGAUGCAGCGACGCCGCGUGGGGGAUGACGGCCUUCGGGUUGUAAACUCCUUUCGACCGCGAGGAAGCCACCUGGUUGGAAGGGUGGUGACGGUAGUGGUAGAAGAAGCACCGGCUAACUACGUG